AAAAGAUUAGUAUGCCAAGGUUUUGUCAUUGUAAUAUGAAAAAGAUGACUUUGGCAAAAAGUAAAACUUUAGAGUUUGGGAAAUGUUUCUGAUACUGAAGCUGCUGCCUUUGAUUUUAUUUUGUAGGUCAUUGUUUCUCAGACUAGAUGCUGAGUCCAGUGAGACUCUGAAGAUAUCAUGAGUGUUCUUGGAGAUCAGAGCAGACGAGAUCCAACAGAGGUGGGCUCCAGAAGAUCAGCUCUGACACAAGAAAACUUCAGCCUUACCGGUGUGAAAGGGAGAUGCCAGAGUUAAGAGCCCCAGAGGUACCAGUAAGGUACAGGGGGACUUUGGAAGCAAGAAAUCCACCUUUACCUGACAGGUUGUUUUAUUUUCUCCCUCACAUAUAAUGUUGGGAUAUGUGUUACUACUGAUAGGCUAUUCUCUCAAUGCUCUGAGAGGGUCUCUAG
rnacentral:lncRNA from 1 species